GAUGAACGCUGGCGGCGUGCUUAACACAUGCAAGUCGAACGGAGUUUACAUGUGAGCGGAGGGUGCUUGCAUCUAACAAUCUUUUGUAAACUUAGUGGCGGACGGGUGAGUAACGCGUGGGUAACCUGCCGUAUGCAGGGGGACAACAGUUGGAAACGACUGCUAAUACCGCAUAAGCGCACAGCAUCGCAUGAUGCAGUGUGAAAAGCCGAGACGGCAUACGAUGGACCCGCGUCUGAUUAGCUAGUUGGUGAGGUAACGGCCCACCAAGGCGACGAUCAGUAGCCGACCUGAGAGGGUGACCGGCCACAUUGGGACUGAGACACGGCCCAAAACUCCUACGGGGAGGCAGCAGUGGGGAAUAUUGGGCAAUGGGGGAAACCCUGACCCAGCAACGCCGCGUGAAGGAAGAAGGCCUUCGGGUUGUAACUUCUUUAGCAGGACGAAGGACGUGACGGUACCUGCAGAAAAGACAACGGACUAACUACGUGCCAGCAG
rnacentral:rRNA from 1 species